ensembl:lncRNA
UACUUCAGGAUGUCCCAGCAAGGUAAAAGAACAGUACAGGAGUGCGUUGUGAUAUCAGUGACUGGUCUGACGCGGCAACAUUAGUCUCAUACAGGGUGACCUUGUUCUCAGAAGGAACCAAUACAGUGGACAACUGACGUAAAACUGUCAUCUGCAGCCUUAUCCUGUACCUCGACAAGAAAGAAGAAGAGCUAUUUGAAAAAUAUAAUUCCAGAUUUGUGUUGGAUGGAGUAAAAUGGAUUUUUCUUUUCUUUAGGGGAAAUUGUUGAUUGUUGGUUGCUUCUACAGUUAUUGUAAAUGAUCAGAGAGGUUACUGAAUGUACCUUAACUACUAAUCAGUUGAUGUGAAGAUGUGAAUGUUGACAUAAUAAACUGUUCAACUUUAUUGUAUUUAAUUGUGAU